UGCACCGCAGGUCGCCGCCCACAAGCCUAUUCUUUCCAAGGAGGCUGAGGCAGAUGUACUGCAAAGGACUGGAAAGACCCUGGAAACUAUGGGACUUCUCCUUCAGGGCGAGAAUGUCGUCUUGACCGGGGAGGUGCAGGAAGAUUUGAUUGAGGCCCUAAGGGUUGCUUCUAACAACGGCGAAGUUUUGAGUGAAGACGGCUCUGAGUACAUACUACCAAUCAUCAUUCGCGGCGUUGCCCAGGGUGUCAUCGCUCACGUUGUCCACAAGAAGCUGAACAAG